CUCAUUAAAAAUUAUUUGCUCUCCCUUACUUUUUCCUCCCCUUUCUCUCUCCCUCUCUCUCUCAUUAAUAAGUCUGGAGAAAGCCAGAUGUGAGGACACUCGGGCAGCUUAUGGAGAGGUCAUGUGGUGAGGAAUGGAGGCCUCGGCCAACAGCCAGUAACCAUGUGAGUGAGCUUUUAAGUGGAUUCCUUAACACCAGUCAAGGUUAGAGAUGACUAUAGCAUCAGUUCACAGCUUGACUGCCACCUCAUGAGAGACCUUGAGCCAUAAAAAUUCGGGCCAAGAAUGGAAAACAAGGCACUGGGAAGAACAUCAUGAGCAAAGGAAUGAAGAGGGGCUGAAAUGCUAUGUUGUCAUAUUCUGGCUGGAAACACAGCAAAAAUAGAACAAUAACUUGUCAAAACUUCUCUUGUUCUUCUAUGACUUGGAUGAGGAUAGAGACUGCAGCAAAAUGGUCACCAUCCGAAUCAACUUGAGGACAACAAAGAAGCUAGGAUUACAAAUUUUGGCAAUUCAAAUAUGGAAUAACAGGUUCCUGAAGUAUGAUUAUGCAUUGUCUUUCCAAGGAGGCUCCAGGUUCAGCGUAGUUGCAUUUAAACUCUGGUUCCAACACUUGCAAACAAGUCCUUGGAACUCGGGGAAGUUAACCUUGCUCAGCUGUACUUUUCUCAUCCUUAAGACAGCAAUAAUAACAGGACCUACCUCAUAUACGGAUGUUGUGAAGAAUGAUAUCAUACAUGUGAAGCACAUACAUGGCACACAUUAAACUCUGGAUAAAUAUGAACCAUUACUGUAACACAUACAGGUGAUUAAAUAAGGACUGGCUACCACAAUGUUAUCAGAUGCUCAAGCGAAAGAUAUGGGGGACAUCUUUAACCCUACCUUUCCUCUCAUCACUACAGCAAAUCUGUGACAAAGUCCUAUCUUUUUAAAUUUUAAAAUAAAUCCUAAAUCCAUACUCUUCUCUCCACCUCCACUGUAACUGCUGGUACCCAGGGCACCAUCAUCCCUUCUGGCCAAUGGCAUCAGCUUCUCACAGGUCCCAGCUUCCAAUCUCCUUCCUCUCUAGUCCACUCUCCAAAUUGCAGCCAGAGCUGACUUAUAAAGCUACAAAUACUAUCAAGUGCGGGCACUUGAUAGUUCUGUCCUCUAUUUCUCUCUGUUUUUAGAAUAAAACCAAACUCAGUCCCAUCA